rnacentral:rRNA from 1 species
GAACAAGCACCGGUUAACUCCGUGCCAGCAGCCGCGGUAAUACUUAGGGUGCAAGCGUUAAUCGGAAUUACUGGGCGUAAAGGGCGCGUAAGCGGCUUGAUAAAAUCAGAUGUGAAAGCCCCGGGCUCAACCUGGGAAUUGCAUUUGAAACUGGCGAACUAGAGUGUGGUAAAGGGAAAUGGAAUUUCUUGUGUAGCAGUGAAAUGCGUAAAUAUUGGAAGGAACAUCAAUGGCGAAGGCGACUUCCUGGACCAAUACUGACACUCAGGUGCGAAAGCCUGGGGAGCAAACAGGAUUAAAUACCCUGGUAGUCCACGCCGUAAACGAUGUCAACUAGUCGUUGGGGAAAUUUGACUUCUUUAUGGCUAACGCGUUAAAUAUACCCCCUGGGGAGUACGGUCGCAAGGUUAAA